rnacentral:rRNA from 1 species
CUGGCGGCGUGCCUAACACAUGCAAGUCGAGCGAGGAGAUCCUUCGGGAUGAUCCUAGCGGCGGACGGGUGAGUAACACGUGGGCAACCUGCCUCAUAGAGAGGAAUAGCCUUCCGAAAGGGAGAUUAAUACCUCAUAACAUUGCAGUUUCGCAUGGAACAGCAAUUAAAGGAGCAAUCCACUAUGAGAUGGGCCCGCGGCGCAUUAGCUAGUUGGUGAGGUAACGGCUCACCAAGGCGACGAUGCGUAGCCGACCUGAGAGGGUGAUCGGCCACAUUGGGACUGAGACACGGCCCAGACUCCUACGGGAGGCAGCAGUGGGGAAUAUUGCACAAUGGGGGAAACCCUGAUGCAAGCAACGCCGCGUGAGUGAUGACGGCCUUCGGGUUGUAAAGCUCUGUCUUCAGGGACGAUAAUGACGGUACCUGAGGAGGAAGCCACGGCUAACUACGUGCCAGCCGCUGC